GGGAAGCUCCCAGAAGACAGAGGAGCAUUGAGGGCUGUGCACAGAGGCCACAGUGGCUCUGCUCGCACACCACCCGUUACUGCCAGCCUAUGACCUGAGCUCCUUGGACGGCAGCCCACUCCCUGCACACCAUGCCCUGGGACAGCGGCAGGAACUAUGAAUGAAAGAAUGGAUGGCAAUUAUUGAUAAUGAUUAGAUACCAGAAAAUUAAGUAUUAUCAAGCUGGGAAGAGAGAGAAUGUUUAUAAAGAGGAUGUAUGUGAGCCUGAAUUUGCAUCUAUGGAAUAUGAAAAGCAAUUAGAGUUGAAGAAAAACUGAACAGAUCAAAGUUAGGACAUCUGGAGGUUAGGACAUCUGCAUUAGGCAGUCAACAGAAUUUAACUCGGAUGAUUCAAAUGAAAUGACAUCAAAGAAGGGACUGUAGAUCUCCUAUCUGUCCGUUUAUGAUUAGGAUACCUUUACAUGCAUGAAAGAAUAUGUGAGGUUCCCUGGGAGUGAGCAUCUGGGAAUACAAUUGAAGCUGGUGGGAACCCCAGGACGAGGGACCCCUAAGGCUGACUUGAUUACUACUUCCUUGACAAGGUGGUCCUUAAUGGAGGAGGGCUGUGGAGCCCCUGAGAAGGGAAGAAGGGACCUCAAAAGAAAAUCAAGACCCCAGAACAAAGCACCAGGGGAAAGAAAAGCCUACAAGGCUUGUUUAAUCUCCUUUAGAGUGUGGAAAGAGCUUUUUCACAGAGGAUAUGAACUCUUUCUACUCUACCUGGGGCCUGAGCUACAGUGUGCGCCAUGCAGGUGAGCCAUUAGGAGGACUCUGGCAAGAAAAGAGCCCGAUUAUCUUUUAAUGUUCCUCCCAGCUCCAAGAUUCCAAGACUUUGUGAAAAUUUAAAAAUAAAUAGAACAUGCCACAUGAAUUACCUUAUUAUUUUAUUGUUUUAAAGAAGACUUACA